GAGUUUGAUCCUGGCUCAGGAUGAACGCUGGCGGCGUGCCUAACACAUGCAAGUCGAACGGAUCCAUAUUGAAACCUAGUGAUGUAUGGAUUAGUGGCGGACGGGUGAGUAACGCGUGGAUAACCUGCCGUAUACAGGGGAUAACACUUAGAAAUAGGUGCUAAUACCGCAUAAGCGCACGGUUCCGCAUGGAACAGUGUGAAAAACUCCGGUGGUAUACGAUGGAUCCGCGUCUGAUUAGCCAGUUGGCGGGGUAACGGCCCACCAAAGCGACGAUCAGUAGCCGGCCUGAGAGGGUGAACGGCCACAUUGGGACUGAGACACGGCCCAAACUCCUACGGGAGGCAGCAGUGGGGAAUAUUGGACAAUGGGGGGAACCCUGAUCCAGCGACGCCGCGUGAGUGAAGAAGUAUUUCGGUAUGUAAAGCUCUAUCAGCAGGGAAGAAGAAAUGACGGUACCUGACUAAGAAGCCCGGCUAACUACGUGCCAGCAG
rnacentral:rRNA from 1 species